GAUGAACGCUAGCGCUAGGCUUAACACAUGCAAGUCGAGGGGCAGCAUGGUCUUAGCUUGCUAAGACUGAUGGCGACCGGCGCACGGGUGCGUAACGCGUAUGCAACUUGCCUCACAGAGGGGGAUAACCCGUCGAAAGACGGACUAAUACCGCGUACACUCUAUUUUGGGCAUCCAAGGUAGAGGAAAUGAAAUUCGCUGUGAGAUAGGCAUGCGUCCCAUUAGCUAGUUGGUGAGGUAACGGCUCACCAAGGCGACGAUGGGUAGGGGAACUGAGAGGUUGAACCCCCACACUGGUACUGAGACACGGACCAGACUCCUACGGGAGGCAGCAGUGAGGAAUAUUGGUCAAUGGGCGAGAGCCUGAACCAGCCAAGUCGCGUGAAGGAUGACUGUCUUAUGGAUUGUAAACUUCUUUUGUAGGGGAAUAAAGAGGGGCACGUGUGCCCCAGUGAAUGUACCCUACGAAUAAGCAUCGGCUAACUCCGUG
rnacentral:rRNA from 1 species